rnacentral:tRNA from 3 species
AGGCGCGUAGCUCAGCUGGUAGAGCACUGGUCUCCAAAACCAGGGGUCGCAGGUUCGAGCCCUGCCGCGCCUGCCA